rnacentral:rRNA from 1 species
AUUGAACGCUGGCGGCAUGCCUUACACAUGCAAGUCGAACGGCAGCGGACCUUCGGGUGCCGGCGAGUGGCGAACGGGUGAGUAAAGUAUCGGAACGUACCUUUCAGUGGGGGAUAACUGUCCGAAAGGACAGCUAAUACCGCAUAUUCUGUGAGCAGGAAAGCAGGGGAUCGCAAGACCUUGCGCUGAUUGAGCGGCCGAUAUCAGAUUAGCUAGUUGGUGAGGUAAAGGCUCACCAAGGCGACGAUCUGUAGCGGGUCUGAGAGGAUGAUCCGCCACACUGGAACUGAGACACGGUCCAGACUCCUACGGGAGGCAGCGGUGGGGAAUUUUGGACAAUGGGGGCAACCCUGAUCCAGCCAUGCCGCGUGAGUGAAGAAGGCCUCGGUUGUAAG